ACAAUGUUUUAAUAUUAUUUAUGACAAUUGUGAUAAUUGUAAAUUAUACAUUUAACUCACCUCUUACCUCAAAUGUAGCAGUUCUUUAGUGACUUCUUCCGUGAUUUCCAAUUUAGCCUAUAAUUAUAGAGCAGAGACAUUUAGUUGCUUGUUAGCUGGUUUAAGGUGUCUCUCUGCUGGCUGUUACAGAAUGUAAACUUUAAAUAUGAAGCCUUUAUAAGAUGUUAAGACUGUUUUAUAUUUAGUGUUUUUGUUUAGGGUAGGGAACAAGCAUGUAAAUGAUGUUUUAUUAGUGUUUGUUAUUUUCUCUUAGUAGAGUCAACAGUCAAUAGGUAAGUUACAACUGCCCCAAAACAUGGGCAUUUUUGGCAAUAACAAAAUUAGAAAACAAAUUAACUUACUUUACCAUUUUCUUCUUCUUCAGUUUCUUCUGAAGACAAAAGACUGCUGUUAUUUAGUUAGCAUUAGUUAAGCUAGGUUAACUCUCAGCUGUUUCUGUUCCCUCUUCAACCUAUAUAACCUAUAGUCUGUAUCAUCUCUACAACCUACUAAAAAAUAAUAAUAAAAAAAAACAUAAACCAUAUUGCAGUAGGCUUUCAUGUGAAGAUGAAAGCACACGUGCAGUCUCUGAAGAUGACUGCUGGAGAAGAUGCAGAACAAGAAGAACCAAACAAUCAUGGGUAAAAUAUUCAGCUAUUUUUGCUGCCAUAAUCAUCACUGAUUCCUUUUUAUUCCUCCUCUGUAGCAGCGUGUUUGCUAAGAGGCCACGGCGGACCCGUGAUGCUGCUCAUUAUACCAGCCUCCACAGUACAAGCCAGCAAACUGACCGCUAAAUGAUGCUCGUCGGUCAGUAUGGGGUAUGACCAGGGCUCUUGUAGUGGAGCUAAUGAUCACUGCCCCCAUGCUUCAAGCUGAAGGUGGCGGUUUAAAGGGUUUAUAUCAUGAGAAAAAAAAUAUUUGCCCUUUAUUUAUUUAAGUAAAAGAGUUAGGAUGGGGUGUGUAAACACUGUUACAGUGUUAACAUUUAUAAUUAUUCCCACAGAUCAUGUAAUUCAACAGCAGGAGGACUGCAUUGAGAGAUUGCAGCACAACCUGGAGAUAUUGAGGAAGUUGUAUGAUUCAAGCAGGAUUGGUUUCUGAAUAAGGUACAGUAAAUAAAUAAAUGAAUUAACCAUGUUUCA
rnacentral:lncRNA from 1 species